UUUUAAACGUAACGUGACGCUUGCGAUACUUUGGCCGGAGGGUGUUAAUGUCCGAGGCAUUUUUAUGCGCUUCUCGUGAGGAUGAAAAUAUCUAGGCAAUGUUGCGGCAAUAUGUAACCAAAUUAUUGAAUCUAUUACCUUAAUAUAAAGUUAAACAUUUUGGAGUAUGGAAUUCUAUGCCGGAGAUUGUAAACCGCCCAAAACCCCCAAUGAUAUGAAUGUGGAGCGGAACCUUUUUUCCUUACGGAGUGACUUACACUAUUACGAGGUGGAAUCUACUCUAUUUGGGAAGCAUCAUACGCUUUAAUGGUGCUAAUUUCACGUCGUACUCAUUUCAUUGGAGGUUUUUGGAUGCUAUGCAGACUUCGGCACCGCAUUUCACUCUUCGAAUUUUAAUAGUGAUCACUGAGAAAAAAGUUCGGUCGUAAGAACCGAGUGUCCUCCUUUAAAAAAAUAAAAUAAGAGCCAAGCUUUUGAAACGCCGCAAACACGAUACGCCUUUUUUGCAGUUUUACCAUCAUAUUACUAAUCAUACUCCAUUAAUCAAUGCUGGAUUCUAUAACCAACAGAGUAGAGUCGAUCAAUUGGAUUAGGAUUUUCACCCGCACAUGACAGCUUUAAUGUUCCAUCAGUGACGUAGUCCAGGACUCUCUUCCCCCUCGAUGGCCAUUUUUACCAGACUUUUAGAUGAGCCAACGAUGCGUUUUGCAUCCAUGGCUGGAGGAUAUAAAUUCGCGUUUACAGCGGUUGACAAUCGUCAGCUGCGGCUUUCACCGUCUCUUCGUUAACCUUCAAUUAUCACAUCGUGUCCUGUCUGCUGGAGAAGUCCUCCUCUGCCAGUUUGAGCGAUUAUUUCCGCAAUUUUUGCCAUCGGUUCAAACGCACUGCAAUCAUCACUAGCGUGGAUAGAGUUUUUUCAUCCCCAAAAAAUGACCUUUUAUGGAGAAAAUUUUCUGUUCAUCGAUGGACCUCCCCGUCUCCUUUUUUGGCAACACCAGAGACCAUCAUCAAAAACAUCAUCAAAUUCAUGAAAACUAUCCGUCUUUUACUCCGCUAUAACGAAAAAGUAAAUUUGACGUCAUGCGUAUCUAUACGAAAAAAAACCUAAAAAAUGUAAUUUAUGAACAGAAAUUACUGAAAAUAAGAAAACCAAUUGCGAGCAGAAGAACAUUUUCAAUUUUAAAAUCUAACAUUAAUUAUAAAAAUAGUUAUAAAACGCAUGUGAUUAAAUGUGCAAUGCCACCCUGGUGUCACAAGGCGGCACAUUUUCUCACGCCAUAAUACAUUGUUUUCAAGUUUCCUAAAUUUGGAAUAAUAUUGUAAAAAAAUCUGUGAACUCAACUCAUCAAGCAUUUCUAAAUGAA